rnacentral:rRNA from 1 species
AAUAGAUACCCAGGUAGUCCACGCCGUAAACGUUGGAUACUAGGUGUGGCGGUCUUACCAACGACUGCCGUGCCGAAGCUAACGCAUUAAGUAUCCCGCCUGGGGAGUACGGCCGCAAGGCUAAAACUCAAAGGAAUUGACGGGUCCCCGCACAAGCGGCGGAGCAUGCGGCUUAAUUCGAUGCAACCCGAAGAACCUUACCUGGGUUUGACAUCACGGGAAAAGCUGUAGAAAUACAGUGUCCGUUAGGGCCCGUGACAGGUGGUGCAUGGCUGUCGUCAGCUCGUGUCGUGAGAUGUUGGGUUAAGUCCCGCAACGAGCGCAACCCUUGUCCUAUGUUGCCAGCGGUUCGGCCGGGGACUCAUAGGAGACUGCCGGGGAUAACUCGGAGGAAGGUGAGGACGACGUCAAGUCAUCAUGCCCCUUAUAUCCAGGGCUGCACGCAUGCUACAAUGGCCGGUACAACGGGCAGCGAUCCCGCGAGGGUGAGCGAAUCCUAAAAAGCCGGUCCUAGUUCGGAUUGAAGUCUGCAACUCGACUUC